rnacentral:rRNA from 1 species
GAUGAACGCUGGCGGCGUGCCUAAUACAUGCAAGUCGAGCGAACAGACGAGGAGCUUGCUCCUCUGACGUUAGCGGCGGACGGGUGAGUAACACGUGGAUAACCUACCUAUAAGACUGGGAUAACUUCGGGAAACCGGAGCUAAUACCGGAUAAUAUAUUGAACCGCAUGGUUCAAUAGUGAAAGACGGUUUUGCUGUCACUUAUAGAUGGAUCCGCGCCGCAUUAGCUAGUUGGUAAGGUAACGGCUUACCAAGGCAACGAUGCGUAGCCGACCUGAGAGGGUGAUCGGCCACACUGGAACUGAGCCACGGUCCAGACUCCUACGGGAGGCAGCAGUAGGGAAUCUUCCGCAAUGGGCGAAAGCCUGACGGAGCAACGCCGCGUGAGUGAUGAAGGUCUUCGGAUCGUAAAACUCUGUUAUUAGGGAAGAACAAAUGUGUAAGUAACUAUGCACGUCUUGACGGUACCUAAUCAGAAAGCAACGGCUAACUACGUG